UUUCCACAAUUUUAUUUCAAAAUUUUAAAGAUGGUUAAAGUUGUCAUUUAUUUAGCUCUAUGCAAAUGUUUUCUAAACAAAAACUUGUCUUCUAAAGGAAGUUGUAAUUUAAAAGGCAAAGAACAUUUACUGACUUUAUUAAAACCCUUCACGCAAGUCCCCUUGUGUCCAGGACACCGGCGUCGUGAGAUUGCUCAACUCAGACAUUCAGUGCUCCUGCAACCAAAUUGAAUGUUAACAACAAACUAUGUUUUGGCUUUAUUAGUAGAUAAUAGGGAUGCAGUUUUUGUGCAGUUUUGUGCACCCAUUUAUAAUACAUUUAUAAUGAUUAACUGAUAAGUUUAAAAUCUACGAUAUACUGUAGCCUAUAAAAAUGACUCAAAAUUUGCCUACCAAUUAAUUAGUUGUAUAUAUCAGAGAGAUUUAAGACAUGUCCCAACAGUAAUUGGAACAAGUACGUUGCGCAUUAAAGCCAUAGCGGCAAAAAACCAAAUUAUACAAACAUGGAUUCACGGACUGAGAAAUCUGCGCAGGACAGAAAUACUGCUGACAUUUUUAUUACAGGAUGGCUGAACUGCCACUGAGAUGGAGCAAAAAGUAUUGCAUAUAAUGCAUACCUUUUAAUAAACAAAUAAGCGUUUUUUUGUCUACUUAUAAUAAAAAGGACACAUUGAUCUCUUCAAUAGUGCAAUUCAUAUUCUAUAGUGUAAGUGGUAGACUCUUCAUUUAGCAAAAUAGUGGCAAGUUCACAACAUUGUAAAGUAGGCCUCCUGAUGGGCAGUUACAAAAAAGGUAAGGCCUAAAAGAGAAUUAAGUGCAGUGAGACCCCCAACAAAAGACCGCUAACUACAUAACAUGACCAACAUCGCCUAUGCCAUUAUUGACCUUUACACCUAAGCAUUUUUGUUAAGGAAUAUCAGCAUGUCUGGGUGCUCUGGGAUAAUUCUGGUGCACUUCUGAAAGUGAGACUGGCAGCUGAGAAGAGGUGUGCGGACAGCAGACAAAUGACAUUCCACUAAUGCUCUCAGUCGAGGGAACUGUGACUCUAACUUUCCAACAGUCAAAUAGGUUUGUGUUUAACCUCUUAGCGCAAAGCCCCUAGUGGUUGGCACGCCGGCGUGCCGAGAUUACUGAACUCAAACAUUCAGUGCUACUGCAACCAAAGUAUGAGUUUAAUACAGAAACAUGUUGUUUUAGUUUCAUUAGUAGACGAUACACAACAACUAUGCCGAAUACAGAGUUUCGGAGCGUCACCAUUGUCGCUCUGGUCGUUCAUUUAACACACACCUCCUUCCUGCAGUCUCAUCUACAACUACACCCCCCACCCAUGCCGUAAUGGACAAUAUUGUCUAUCUUGGCAUUCAUAAAAAUAUUCUUUCACCACUAAAAAUUUGUAUUCCGUCAUAGUAACAAGAUUAACCCGACAGUAGCCCUAAGAUAUGCCUAUACAGCAGUGAAGACGCUGCUCACUGAAUAAUGAAAUAAACGAGAAAAGGUUUUUAUAAAUGUCAUUCUACAGUCAAUAUCUGGGACUAAAUAUUGAAUAAAUAUACUACUUUACGGUUGGUUUUACGCAUAGAAAUGUCGCUUUUGAGACUCAGUGGUCCUAUAUGUGUGGCGGUCUGGAGAAACCCGUCGGAUGUCGCUGGGAGUCAUUGUUGGAAAAAUGCCAAUAAACUCGUAAAAUGAGUUUUUUGGGUAAAAUGAGAUCACACGAUUUAGAUUCUGUGAAGUCUUUACUUUGUCUUGGUAAAUAAAGAUAUUGUGAAAACUUAACGGAAAAUGUUUAUUUUUAGGUAUUUGUAAACGUGGUUUGCUAGCAAAAAAGCAAUGUUGUUACUGUUAGCUUGGGACGGCGAUCUGUUUCUGUAGGUAGAGAUACGCCUGCCAAUUCAGUCUUGUCUUGUGCCCAAACAAAGUACUACAACAACGUUAAAAAACACUAAACCAAUAACAUAUUGUCUGCAAAUUUAGCUGACUAAAGAAAUCUGUCAUUUAAUAUUUAUGAAGACGUGUGGGGUUUCACACGUCUUCAGAAAUGAUGCGAGAUGAAUGCGAGUUAGCCGACAUGCCUAAAUUUGGCCGUUCUCCACUCGUGAUCAACAGGCUAAUAUUGCGAUUGCUAAUGGGUUGUGGAUCACUCAGUUAAAAUUAAACAUAGGUUAUGUAAACAUUUAACAUCAAUAUAGUUAGGUUAGUGUUUCGUUUUCACAGCCUACUUUUGUCUCUUGAUCAAUCAGAUUACACUAGCAUGUUGGUGGUUCAAGUUACGGGCGCUUUCGACUUCUUAUUCCCUUUCUAUAAACUUGCUGUCAACUAUUUUGAUUUGUGUAAAAGCAAAGACCCAUGUAAUUGUUGGAAUUGGCGUUAACUGGUUGGAAAGGUUAACUUUUCGAGUUGCAAGACUGCAGUUGGCAGUCUUAACAUAACACAACAGGCACGAAACACCAACAACAACUGCGUUCACGCGCAGAUCAGCUGAUAGCUGUCAAAACAUCCUCGCAUAGUUGACGGCUGCUGUCAGUGAGAGAUGGCGUCUUUACAGGAUAGCGAUGUAGCCCGUUGUUUGAAUGAAUUGUCUUCUAUUAACAUGAGUAAUGUUUCCAAUAGCUUUGAAGCAAGACAGUUAAUCAGUGAUUAUUUCACAAGUGGUCCUAAUCUCAGAGACAGUGACAGUGAGGUAUUUGGAUCGAGUGAUGAAUCAAGUGACAGGAAUUACGAUAGAGAUCCUGCUCCUCGAAAAACGGCUUGUCUUGUUUUCGCACCCAAAACUGGAGAGAUGGACAGUGAUGAAGACGAUGACCUGUCAGAGUCACAUCCAACUCUCGAAAAUCUGGCCGAUAAAAUCAUUCCUCCUGGCCAUGGUGAUGCUGGGCCUUCUGUAGUAGAUUGUCAUUGCUGCUGCAAGCUCAAUGAAGGAAAGCCUUGCCAUACCAGAUUCCCCAAAGAGGAGCUCCUUGAUGUCCGUCUGCAGUACCUCAACCUGUCUCGUGAAGAGCUUGACAUUGCCAUUCUCUCCAAGCUUUCUUGUGGAAUGCAUCUCUCUGACACAACAUCAAGGUCCAGGAAGAGAGAGCAGACACAGCGUUUAGCCCACCGUACUGAUUAUUACUGUCAUGGGCAUAGGAUCUGCCGUGAUGUUUUCAAAUAUCUCCAUGGGGUUGGGCAGGACAAAUUUAAUGCAUUAAUGAAGCAUUACAAGGCUGCUGGGGUGGAAGCAAGGGUCCACAAGCUGAAUAAGAGGCUUCCUGCAAAUGCAUUAAAAUUGCAGGACACGAGCCAUUGUGGAUUUCAUCCUCAACUAUGCAGAGGCGAAUGCGAUCAUUCUUCCAGGCCGCACACAAAGCAUUGGAAUGUAAAAAAAAAGAUGUAAAACUGCUGCCAACCAACUGCAGCAAGAGGAAGGUCUAUGAGCAGUACUGCGCAGCAGGUGGAGAAUGCUGGCAUGCGAAUGGUAACCCUGAGAACCUUUCGGCGAAUAUGGCAGCAGUUAGUACCCUUUGUGUCGACCAUGCGCCCUGCCACUGACCUGUGCUAGUACUGUUAGUCAGGUGUUGCUAAACUUAAACAUGCUGCCAAUCAUCCAGAGGCUGAGAAAAGUGCAGCCAUCCGUGAUAUUGAAGAGCACUUGGCUAAAGUCGCAAUGGAGAGAUCCCUCUACCAACAAAUCUGUAAAACAACAAAGGAGGAGAUGCCCUUUGGUGCAGAAAUAGGACCCCAUCCUGCCUGCAGCUUCCCUGGGAAGAUGCAUUACAGUUUUGAUUUUGCGCAGCAGGUCCAUUUCCCAUCAGACCCCUUGCAGCCUGGUCCAGUGUACUUCAAGUGCCCCCGGGAAUGUGGUCUCUUUGGGGUGGCAUGUGAGGCUGUCCCAAAGCAGGUACAUUUUUUACUUGAAGAGAGCUGCCAGUCAGGGAAAGGUGCCAACUGUGUAGUGUCACUCCUUCACUACUUCUUGGAGCACUAUGGCAUGGGUGAAGAAGAUGUCCAUUUACAUGCAGAUAACUGCAGUGGACAAAACAAAAACUCCACAAUGAUGUGGUACUUGAUGUGGAGGGUGCUAACAGGGCGUCACAAGAACAUCACCUUCUCCUUCCUGCUAACUGGACACACAAAAUUUAGUUGUGACUGGUGCUUUGCUCUUGUGAAACGCUUGUUCAGAAGGACAAGGGUAGACUGUCUAGAUGACAUUGUCAAGGUGGUCGAGGAAUCCUCCCAUGUCAACAUUGCUCAAGUCUGCGGCAAGGAAAAUGGAGAGGUCAUUGUGCCAACAUAUGACUGGACGAGCUUCCUCAGCACAUACUUCAGGAAAGUUGGAGGAAUAAAGAAAAACUUUCGUGAGGGGUCAGGCAUAAUUGAAAUAAAAUAGUUCUGUGACAGUGGUGCAACCCAGCAAGAUCUUCUGAGAGUGCCCCUGCCCAGCAAAAUGCCAGACCAGAUCCUACCAAAAGGACUCGAUGCGAAGCGGCAGUGGUACCUCUGUGAAGAAAUAAGGCUAUUUACUACUGAUACCUAUAAAGACACCACCUGUCCGUGUCCAACAGUCCCCAAGCCGAGGAGAAUUGCAGUGUUCAAUGGGGAGGAGUAGGUUUACCGUGCAGUGUGUGUGUAGGUCUACAGUGAAGGGCUGCAGCAAAUGACUCAAGGAAAAACGUGUUGGUUGAUGUUUUUUUCUUGUGCUUUUAAAUGUACAUUUUCAUCACCCUGUUAAAAUAUAUUUGUAAAAUACUAUUCAGAAGAUGAUUGACAUGUCAAAUUGUAAAAUUUAAUUCAAAGAAUACUUUUAUGAUAGUCACACAUAAUUAACCCUAAUACAAUGACAAUAAUUUGUAAAACACAAUUUUGUUUGUUGAUGCUUGUUACAUGUACUUCUCCUGUUAAAAUCUUUCUAUAUUUCA